AUUUAUUUAUAUAUUUAUUAUAUCUUAAUAUUUAUUAAGAAUUACAUAUUUAAUUUAAAAUACAAUUUAUUUCCUAAAUAUUUUCCUCAUCACUAAAAACGCGUCGUAUUUCCACCGAUUAAUAGGAAAGUAUCGAUAGUGGUAUCGAUAAAGACUCGGAUCGUUUAUGGAAAAUGGUAUCGAUAUCAAUAAAUAUGAAUGAUCCCCAUCCCUAGUGACCGGGCCCUCCCAACCUCCUUCUAUCACCCCCUCAUCUCUAGACACAGACCACACCUCCUCCCUGAUGUCAUCGUGCUCCUGCUGCAACCGACAUUCAACGCUAGGAUGAUCACCAAACCCACCGCCAUCGCACUUGUGUUUUUAAUGACUGUUUGACGCGACCGCGAGCUGGGGACGGAGACGUGAGACUUUGAGGGCACCGCUCGGCACACGUUGCACAAACACACGACACAAGCGCUUCUCUCCAGGAAGGUACUGCGGGUGUGUUGCUGUGUGCAAAGCAAUCACUCCUCCAGUACUCCUGUCAACUUGUAUGAACGUAUUUUAUGAUGAUCGGGGAAGAAAUAAAUGACGCAGGCACAUGUAUUUAGAAAGUUUUAUAAAAGGAAAUUAUUAAUAAAUUGUUUUAUAAUGUUUGUUUUUCAGAUUUAAAAAAGUCCCCUUUACUCAGGUAAAGGGGAGGUGUCAAAUAAAUAUUAUUAUUUUAUGUGUUGAAUGUAUUAGUGAUGAAUAAAAUGCGUUAACAAAUGAGACUUAAAUGAUUAACCACAACUACCAAGCGUUAAGCUAGAGGAAAACUAACCGCUUCUUCAACCUGCGCCGGACGGCCGAGAGCUUACGUUCUCUGUAGCCUGUGACUGUACUCCGUAUUAGUCUACUUUAACCUAUUGAACCACGGCCACCAAUAGGCUGCUUAAACGCUGGCAUUUCAGACACUUCCUUCAAUGCAAGGUUUCGGAUUAAGCUACUUGUUGGUGGAAGCGGGCCCUGGCGACUCAGGGAAGAGAUGCUGUUAUACGAUUAUUUUCAUUCUGUCAAGAAAGCUCAGAGGACUGUGCUGAGUCGACUGGAUCUUUCCAAGACACCCAAGAUGACUUCAGGGCAAUCGGCACACCUCCCCAGGUGAUGGGAAGCAGGCCCAGCGCGGUUCCUUCCCAGAAGUGUUUUCUUUCAGAGCCUGUCCAGUGACGUUCUCUCCCCUGGUGUUUAUGUUCCGCUUUCAGUUUUAAGUGCAAUUUCCAAUUUUUUUUUUUUUUCCCUCUUGUUUUGAAAUCGGGUGACUCUUACGGCUUGAGUGACUUCAAGGCCAGGCCCGGGUGAAAGCCUUCUUUGGACGAUUGGUUGGUAAUUAUCUAAACAUCUGGAUCAGGACAUGUACGUCUGAUUUAGGAAAUCCAUCAGUGGCACUAUUCUGAUGUUAAUCAUGUAAAAGAUUUCACAUUUCUUGGAGCAAAGACGUCCUGUAUAAUAAAUCGACUGCAAAGCUUUAUGGUUAAUGGUCUCCUGUGUGAUCUUGAUCAAUAUACAAAAUAAAUUGAAAUGCAUGGGUCAUUAACUGGUCUUCCAUAUGACUUUAGGAAUAAAAUACACGAUUAAUCACAAACCUUUAGUCAUCUGCAUAACUCUACAGAACCAAGCUAGGUGUAACUGUCUGGGGGAACUGAUGGCAUGACAAGUCUCUUGCUCUCCAAGAUAAUGUAAAGAGGUCCUUGAUGCCAAAAGAGAAGUUUCUAAUCUGUUGAAGAAAAUACAUUAUUCAAUGUACCUUCUUGGUCAAUGUGAAUAAAUGUUUUUUUGUCAAACUGAA
ensembl:lncRNA